GACAGAGGAGCCAAGCGUUGUCCGGACUGACUGGGCGUAAAGCGCACGCAGGCGGCGCUGUGCGUGGGGUGUGAAAGCUCUUGGCUUAACUGAGAGAGGCCAUCCCAUACGGCAGCGCUCGAGCGAUGCAGAGGUCCGCGGAAUUGCCGGUGUAGUGGUGAAAUGCGUAGAUAUCGGGAGGAACACCAGUGGCGAAGGCGACUACCUGGCCUGUUCUUGACGCUGAGGCGCGAAAGCUAGGGGAGCAAACGGG
rnacentral:rRNA from 1 species